rnacentral:rRNA from 1 species
GAUGAACGCUGGCGGCGUGCUUAACACAUGCAAGUCGAACGGAAAGGCCCUGCUUUUGUGGGGUGCUCGAGUGGCGAACGGGUGAGUAACACGUGAGUAACCUGCCCUUGACUUUGGGAUAACUUCAGGAAAAUGGGGCUAAUACCGGAUAGGAGCUCCUGCUGCAUGGAGGGGGUUGGAAAGUUUCGGCGGUUGGUGAUGGACUCGCGGGUUAUAAGCUUGUUGGUGGGGUAGUGGCUUACCAAGGCCUUGACGGGUAACCGGCCUGAGAGGGUGACCGGCGACCUGGGGACUGCGAGACGGCCCAGACGCCUACGUGGGACAGCAGGGGGGAAUAUUGCGCAGCGAGCGGAAGUCUAUUACAGCAACCUCGCGUUCGUGAAGACGGCCCACGGGUUGUAAACCGCUUACGGCUGUGACGAAGCGUGAUUGACGGUAAUGGGAAAAGAAGCACCGGCUAACUACGUG